rnacentral:rRNA from 1 species
GACGAACGCUGGCGGCGUGCCUAAUACAUGCAAGUCGAGCGAAGUUUUUCUGGUGCUUGCACUAGAAAAACUUAGCGGCGAACGGGUGAGUAACACGUAAAGAACCUGCCUCAUAGACUGGGACAACUAUUGGAAACGAUAGCUAAUACCGGAUAACAGUAUUUCUCGCAUGAGAGAUAUUUAAAAGUUGGUUAUGCUAACACUAUGAGAUGGCUUUGCGGUGCAUUAGCUAGUUGGUGGGGUAAAGGCCCACCAAGGCGACGAUGCAUAGCCGACCUGAGAGGGUGAUCGGCCACACGGGGACUGAGACACGGCCCAGACUCCUACGGGAGGCAGCAGUAGGGAAUCUGCCGCAAUGGGCGAAAGCCUGACGGAGCAACGCCGCGUGAGUGAAGAAGGAUUUCGGUUCGUAAAGCUCUGUUGUUAGGGAAGAAUGGAUAUGUAGUAACUAUACAUGUAAGAGACGGUACCUAACCAGAAAGCCACGGCUAACUACGUG